CUCGGACUGAGAGCGCGAGGCUUCGGGACUGAGCCCUAGCUGCUGCGCUGGCCGAAGUUUUCUCGUCGGUAAAAUAGGAUAACAGUGCACCAUAGGGUCGUUUUGAUAAAGAAGAAAGGUAGGGCACUUAACACAGUUCCUGGUAAAGAGAGUUCAAAUGAAAGUGAAGGAGGCCGGGCGCGGUGGCUCUCACCUGCAGUCCCAAGCACUCUGGGAGGCCUGUAAGGUGCCUGUAAUCCCAGCUCCUCGGGAUGCUGAGGCAGGAGAAUCGCUUGAACCCGAGAAGUGAAGGUUGCAGUGAUCCGAGAUCGCACCACUGCACUCCAUCCUGGGCGACAGAGCGAGACCCUGUCUCGAAAAAAAAGUUAAGGUUUUUUUGGGGGAAAGAGCGCAAAGGUUUUCCGGGAGCGGUGGCCUUCAUGAUCAUUUGAAACAAA
rnacentral:lncRNA from 10 species